rnacentral:misc_RNA from 1 species
GAUGAAGAACGCAGUGAAAUGCGAUAAGUAAUGCGAAUUGCAGAAUUCAGUGAAUCAUCGAAUCUUUGAACGCACAUUGCGCCCCCUGGUAUUCCGGGGGGCAUGCCUGUUCGAGCGUCAUUACAACCCUCAAGCUCUGCUUGGUAUUGGGCCCCGCCAGUUCUGGCGGGCCCUAAAGUCAGUGGCGGUGCCUUCCGGCUCCGAGCGUAGUAAUUCUUCUCGCUCUGGAGACCCGGUUGUGUGCUUGCCAACAACCCCCAAUUUUUUAAGGUUGACCUCGGAUCAGGUAGGGAUACCCGCUGAACUUAAGCAUAUCAAUAAGCGGAGGA